rnacentral:rRNA from 1 species
CCUACGGGUGGCAGCAGUGGGGAAUAUUGGGCAAUGGAGGCAACUCUGACCCAGCAACGCCGCGUGAAUGAUGACGGUCCUCGGAUUGUUAAGUUCCUUUCUAAGGGAAGAAGAAAGUGACGGUACCUUAGGAAUAAGCCUCGGCUAACUACGUGCCAGCAGCCGCGGUAAUACGUAGGAGGCAAGCGUUAUCCGGAAUGACUGGGUGUAAAGGGUGCGUAGGUGGUUUGGCAAGUUAGUAGCGCAACUCCGGGGCUCAACUUCGGAACUACUACUAAAACUGUUGGACUUGAGUGCGGGGGAGGCAAGCGGAAUUCGUGGUGUAGCGGUGGAAUGCGUAGAUAUUAGGAGGAACACCGGUGGCGAAGGCAGAUUGCCGGACUGUAACUGACGCUGAGGCACGAAAGCGUGGGGAGCGAACAGGAUUAGAUACCCCGGUAGUC